AACGAACGCUGGCGGCGCGCCCAAUACAUGCAAGUCGAGCGAGAAGACGUAGCAAUACGUUUGUAAAGCGGCGAACGGGUGAGGAAUACAUGGGUAACCUACCCUCGAGUGGGGAAUAACUAGCCGAAAGGUUAGCUAAUACCGCGUACGCUCCUUGGACUUCGGUUCAGGGAGGAAAGCGAUACCGUGGGUAUCGCGCUCUUGGAUGGGCUCAUGUCCUAUCAGCUUGUUGGUGAGGUAACGGCUCACCAAGGCUUCGACGGGUAGCUGGUCUGAGAGGACGAUCAGCCACACUGGCACUGCGACACGGGCCAGACUCCUACGGGAGGCAGCAGUAAGGAAUAUUGCGCAAUGGGCGAAAGCCUGACGCAGCGACGCCGC
rnacentral:rRNA from 1 species